rnacentral:rRNA from 1 species
AGUGAACGCUGGCGGUAGGCCUAACACAUGCAAGUCGAACGGCAGCACAGUAAGAGCUUGCUCUUACGGGUGGCGAGUGGCGGACGGGUGAGGAAUACAUCGGAAUCUACUUUUUCGUGGGGGAUAACGUAGGGAAACUUACGCUAAUACCGCAUACGACCUACGGGUGAAAGCAGGGGAUCUUCGGACCUUGCGCGAUUGAAUGAGCCGAUGUCGGAUUAGCUAGUUGGCGGGGUAAAGGCCCACCAAGGCGACGCUCCGUAGCUGGUCUGAGAGGAUGAUCAGCCACACUGGAACUGAGACACGGUCCAGACUCCUACGGGAGGCAGCAGUGGGGAAUAUUGGACAAUGGGCGCAAGCCUGAUCCAGCAAUACCGCGUGGGUGAAGAAGGCCUUCGGGUUGUAAAGCCCUUUUGUUGGGAAAGAAAAGCAGCAGGUUAAUCCCCCGCUGUUCUGACGGUACCCAAAGAAUAAGCACCGGCUAACUUCGUG